AUUGAACGCUGGCGGCAUGCCUAACACAUGCAAGUCGAACGGCAGCACAGAGGAGCUUGCUCCUUGGGUGGCGAGUGGCGGCCGGGUGAGGAAUACAUCGGAAUCUACUCUGUCGUGGGGGAUAACGUAGGGAAACUUACGCUAAUACCGCAUACGACCUACGGGUGAAAGCAGGGGAUCUUCGGACCUUGCGCGAUUGAAUGAGCCGAUGUCGGAGUAGCUAGUUGGCGGGGUAAAGGCCCACCAAGGCGACGAUCCGUAGCUGGUCUGAGAGGAUGAUCAGCCACACUGGAACUGAGACACGGUCCAGACUCCUACGGGAGGCAGCAGUGGGGAAUAUUGGACAAUGGGCGCAAGCCUGAUCCAGCCAUACCGCGUGGGUGAAGAAGGCCUUCGGGUUGUAAAGCCCUUUUGUUGGGAAAGAAAUCCAUCUGGUUAAUACCCGGGUGGGAUGACGGUACCCAAAGAAUAAGCACCGGCUAACUUCGUGCCAGCCGCCGCAGUAA
rnacentral:rRNA from 1 species